AUAAUACUUCCUCCGUUCCGAAUUACUUGUCUUGGAUUUGUCUAGAUACGGAUGUAUCUAGCACUAAUCUAGAUACAUCCGUAUCUAGACAAAUUUAAGACAAGUAAUUCGGAACGGAGGGAGUAUGUG
rfam:Triticum urartu cultivar G1812 contig727878, whole genome shotgun sequence.